AGUGGCGGACGGGUGAGUAAUGCGUAGGAAUUUGCCUCAAAGUGGGGGAUAGCCCGGAGAAAUCCGGAUUAAUACCGCAUGUGCUCCAUGGAGGAAAGCGGGCCUCUACUUGUAAGCUCGCGCUUUGAGAUAAGCCUACGUCGGAUUAGCUAGUUGGUGAGGUAAUGGCUCACCAAGGCGACGAUCCGUAGCUGGUUUGAGAGGAUGAUCAGCCACACUGGGACUGAGACACGGCCCAGACUCCUACGGGAGGCAGCAGUGGGGAAUAUUGGACAAUGGGCGCAAGCCUGAUCCAGCAAUGCCGCGUGUGUGAAGAAGGCCUGCGGGUUGUAAAGCACUUUUAUCGGGAAAGAAAAUCUCAGGGAUAAUACCCCUGGGCCUUGACGGUACCCGAAGAAUAAGCACCGGCUAACUCCGUGCCAGCAGCCGCGGUAAUACGGAGGGUGCAAGCGU
rnacentral:rRNA from 1 species